GACGAACGCUGGCGGCGUGCUUAACACAUGCAAGUCGAACGGAAAGGCCCGGCUUUUGUGGGGUGCUCGAUUGGCGAACGGGUGAGUAACACGUGAGUAACCUGCCCUUGACUUUGGGGUAACUUCAGGAAACUGGGGCGAAUACCGGAUAGGAGCUCCUGCUGCAUGGUGGGGGUUGGAAAGUUUCGGCGGUGGGGGAUGGACUCGCGGGUUAUCAGCUGGUUGGUGGAGUAGUGGCUUACCAAGGCUUUGACGGGUAGCCGGCCUGAGAGGGUGACCGGCCACAUUGGGACUGAGAGACGGCGCAGAAUCGUACGGGCGGCAGCAGUCGGGAGUAUGGCACAGUGGGCGGAAGCCUGAUGCGGAAGCGCCGCGUGCGGGAUGACGGGCUUCGGGUUGUAAACCGAUUUCGACGGUGACGAAGCGGGAGUGACGGUAAUGGGUCAAGAAGCACCGGCUAACUACGUG
rnacentral:rRNA from 1 species